rnacentral:lncRNA from 10 species
UUUAGUGCAACCAUGUUAGGAAAAGCUAUGUGCUAAGUGUAGUGAGCACGCCAAAUACAGUGAGAGGAAAAAAAAUAAAAGAAAUCUGACCUGUUAGUAGCAUGGUGGGCCACAGCACUGUGCUGUGCUGUGAGCCUGGUCUGUCUCCAUCUAAGUUUCUUUAAUGAGAAAACAAAUAAAAUAUUCAAAAAAGAAAUUUUUUUUUUUUUUUUUUGAGACAGAGUCUCGCUCUGUCGCCCAGGCUGGAGUGCAGUGGCGCGAUCUCGGCUCACUGCAAGCUCCGCCUCCCGCGUUCACGUCGUUCUCCACCUCAGCCUCCCGAGUAGCUGGGACUACAUGCGCCCGCCAUCACACCAGGCUAAUUUUUUGUAUUUUUAGUAGAGACGGGGUUUCACCGUGUUAGCCAGGAUGGUCUCGAUCUCCUGACCUCGUGAUCCACCCGCCUCAGCCUCCCAAAGUGCUGGGAUUACAGGCGUGAGCUACUGCGCCCGGCCUAAAAUAUAUAUUAUGUGUAUAUACAUAGAUUUUUAAUUUAAUAAUAUUCCAUUGCUUAGAUGUACCACAGUUCAUUCAUCAGUUGAAAGGCCUUUGAGAUGCUCCCUCUUUGGGCAAUUAUGAAUAAUGUCACAAUCAACAUUUGCAUGCAGAUUUUGUGUGAACAUAAGAGUAAUUUCUCUUGGACUGGCAUGCCUGCUUUGUAUGGAUUGGUGAAGUGCUAAUAUUUAUUCCACUCCUGUCUUCUGAGCUCUAACCAAAUUGAGAACAACUACAAAAAAUGAGCUUGAGGAUUAAAGUUGAUCUUGAAGCACUGUCCCCCAAGAAGACCUUUGCCUGCAAUCUCUGACAUUGGUACUCUCUGCAGUAUGUUUAUUGUUAUUGUUUUCUUAAAGGAUUCUAACAGAAAUCUACCAGCCUCAUUCACAAACUUUGCCUGUUCUAGCUGGUGAUAUUUACCAGAUAAUAGUGUGAGCAAACAUACCAUAUACUUCCUCUCUGAUAUCUGUGAGUAUAAUACUAAUUGGUAUAAUUAUAUUAUUAACACUUCUGUGAAAUAUUUUUGACAUUUGUAUUAAAGACUUUAUUAAUGAUAAUUACAUAAACUUAACUCUCUAACAAUUUUUAUGACUUUCCACUAUUCACUUUUAAAUAAGUCUUGGCCAUCACAAAAUUAUUAAUUUACAAAUGUGUUCUAGUUUGCUAGAAAAUAAUUUUUUUAAGAAAAUAUGUGGACUGGAGGCCGGGCACGGUGGCUCAC